rnacentral:rRNA from 2 species
CACGCCCUAAACGAUGUCGACUAGCCGUUGGAGAUUUCGGUUUCUGGUGGCGCAGCUAACGCGUGAAGUCGACCGCCUGGGGAGUACGGUCGCAAGAUUAAAACUCAAAGGAAUUGACGGGGGCCCGCACAAGCGGUGGAUGAUGUGGAUUAAUUCGAUGCAACGCGAAAAACCUUACCUGGUCUUGACAUGUACCGAACCUCGAAGAGAUUUGAGGGUGCCCGAAAGGGAGCGGUAACACAGGUGC